rnacentral:rRNA from 1 species
UACAGAGGGGGCGAGCGUUGUUCGGAAUUACUGGGCGUAAAGGGCGCGUAGGCGGCCUUCUAAGUCGAACGUGAAAUCCCCGGGCUCAACCCGGGAACUGCGUCUGAGACUGGAAGGCUUGAAUCCGGGAGAGGGAUGUGGAAUUCCAGGUGUAGCGGUGAAAUGCGUAGAUAUCUGGAGGAACACCGGUGGCGAAGGCGGCAUCCUGGACCGGUAUUGACGCUGAGGCGCGAAAGCCAGGGGAGCAAACGGG